rnacentral:rRNA from 1 species
CCUACGGGAGGCAGCAGUGGGGAAUAUUGGGCAAUGGGCGCGAGCCUGACCCAGCAAAGUAGCGUGAAGGAUGACUGCCCUACGGGUUUUAAACUUCUUUUAUAAAGGAGUAAAAUGAGACGCUUGUGCCUUUUUGUAUGUACUUUAUGUAUAAGGAUCGGCUAACUCCGUGCCAGCAGCCGCGGUAAUACGGAGGAUCCGAGCGUUAUACGGAUUUAUUGGGUUGAAAGGGAGUGUAGAUGGGUUGUUAAGUCAGUUGUGAAAGCUAGCGGCUCAACCGAAAGAUUGCAAUUGAUACUGGCAGCCUGGAGUGCAGUAGAGGUAGGCGGAAUUCGGGGUGUAGCGGUGAAAUGCGUAGAUAUCACGAAGAACACCGAUGGCGAAGGCAGACUACUAAACAGCAACUGACAUUGAGGCUCGAAAGUGUGGGUAUCAAACAGGAUUAGAUACCCUUGUAGUC